AUCAGAAUCAUAAUUCAAACCCGAAACAUCGAAGCUGGCUUCGUCAAUUUCACCUUCUUCACUCUUCUUUCUUUUCCUUUCCAUUUCUCCCCAAUUCCCCCCAAUUUCUCCUCCAUAUCUCAGCCCUGAUAUCUCCAAAUUCCCCAACUUAUCCCCACUUUGCCUUAACAAGGCUCGCUUCUGAAAUAGAGUUGGCGGUGAACCCACUGGAGGCAAAACCUCAAGUGGCCUCAAAACCUUAGCCCUGCUUAAAAACAGAGCAUUCCCAGUAGAACCAUCAAAACCCUCAAGUCCCACAUUACCAAACCCAGCACCUCCGAUUGCGGCAGCAUUAUCGGACACCGGAAGCAACUGGGAAGCUUGGAACUCGGGCCCACUAAAACCCAUCAAAUUGGAAGCCUGAUUCGGCUGGUAUUGGCCGAGAAAAGCAUUUUCGCAACCCAAAUCGAAGCCAUUGUCAAAAGGGUUGGUGACAUUGAGAAGGGAAGAGAAGCAGGAUUUGGGGGGAAAAAAAGGCUGGUGUGCCUGUGCUGGGUCUAGAGUAAAGGCCUGCGAGGGAGAGCAAGAAGAGGAAGAGUCCAUAGGCUGUAAGAGAAGAUUUUCAGGUGUGGGGUUAGCACAAAAACCAAGGUCUCUGAUUUCAUGGUGAUUUUGGAGAGCAUGGAGGUCAUGGUGAGGAGAUGGGUUGAUAUCAUACCAGUCGGUAUCAAGCAUAGAUUUGAA
rnacentral:misc_RNA from 1 species